UAAACUUGUGGUGGGGUAGAGAAUGACAUUUGGAACAAAGGUUUGAUGUGUCAUUCAACUGGUGAACCAACUUACUGGCCACCCGACCUAACGAAAAUUCAAGACGUUCUUGAUUUUACUAUUUCGAAAGGUUUUAAUUUAAGGUACUCACGCUCUAAGACCUGUUCGGAUCUACUAUCAAAUCACUGUUCUAAGUAAACACGCCGCUACUCUCAAUGAAUAAACUUGUGGCGGUUAGAUUUAAUUGAAAUUUAAUUUAAAUUUAUUUUGCAAUUUUAAUUUUAAAAUACGCGACAAUAUCGAAAACCCACAAUACGUCAAUAUUGCAUAAUAAACGUUCAGUAAAUAUUGCCAUUCGGGAUCGCGGUUAAUAUAAAAAUAUUGAACGUGUAGCCAGCGUCAUAGAAACUGAUGACUGCUUAUUUUUUCUUUUGCCUUUUGUUAUGGCAUCUGUAGGAGUUGAAUUUAGCAUCAGAAGCCAUAAUAAUUUUUACAAAACUCGUUUAUCAAAAAACUCGCGGUAUAACGAUUGCAAAACAUAGCUGUAUGGUUUUAGUGGAUACAUGCGUUUAUUUCAUUCACCGACAACCACAAAUUGGCGACCUCCGGCGUUUUUUAAAUAAAAAUCCGAGAAAUAUACUAAUUUCAGCAUUAGCGCGAUGCCGUGCCCUCGUUCCAUCCCCGUUUAGUACAAUCAGUCGAUUCUACAAACUCGCUCAACAUAGUGUGCGGCAAAGUGUGGAAAAUAAAAACCAAACACGCGAUCAUAGA